rnacentral:rRNA from 1 species
UACGUAGGGGGCAAGCGUUGUCCGGAAUCAUUGGGCGUAAAGCGCGUGUAGGCGGUUCGGUAAGUCCGCUGUGAAAGUCGGGGGCUCAACCCUCGGAUGCCGGUGGAGUACUGUCGAGCUUGAGUACGGAAGAGGCGAGUGGAAUUCCUGGUGUAGCGGUGAAAUGGCGCAGAUAUCAGGAGGAACACCUAUUGCGAAGGCAGCUCGCUGGGACGUAACUGACGCUGAGACGCGAAAGCGUGGGGAGCAAACAGG